rnacentral:rRNA from 1 species
GAUGAACGCUGACAGAAUGCUUAACACAUGCAAGUCAACUUGAACUUCAGUUUGGGUGGCGGACGGGUGAGUAACGCGUAAAGAACUUGCCUCACAGAUAGGGACAACAUUUGGAAACGAAUGCUAAUACCUGAUAUUAUGAUUUUAGGGCACCCUAAGAUUAUGAAAGCUAUAUGCGCUGUGAGAGAGCUUUGCGUCCCAUUAGCUAGUUGGAGAGGUAACGGCUCACCAAGGCGAUGAUGGGUAGCCGGCCUGAGAGGGUGAUCGGCCACAAGGGGACUGAGACACGGCCCUUACUCCUACGGGAGGCAGCAGUGGGGAAUAUUGGACAAUGGACCAAGAGUCUGAUCCAGCAAUUCUGUGUGCACGAUGAAGUUUUUCGGAAUGUAAAGUGCUUUCAGUUGGGAAGAAAAAAAUGACG